AGCCGUCCGUGGCGAUGUAGAGGGUGUCGCCCGAGGCCAUGGCUGAGGGCUCCGCCACCACGGCCGCGGCGGCCUCGGCUCCGGGCGGGCGGGCGAGGAGGCGGCCGGCCGUGGGGAAGGAAGGCAGAGGGAGGAAGGCGGCGGGCGGGCGGGGGGAGAGGGGGCGGGCGGCAGGGGGAAGGGGCGGGCGCGGCGGCGGCGGCGGCGGCGGGCUUCCCCGCCUCCUCGCCUCGGUGCGCCCCGCGCUCGCUCGACCGCUGCUCGCCGCGGCGCCCCGCCUCGCCGCACCUUGGCCGCCCGCUCUGGCCGCGCCUCCUCCCGCCCUCCGGGCCGGCGCUCCGCUUCCCCCUUCCUCUUGCGCCUCCGCCUCCUUCCACACAAAUACCAACUCCUCACCCCGAGCCCAGAUCUCGCCGCCGCCGCCGCCGCCACACUCUGCUCGGGCUCGGCCUCGCGAGACUUCCGCGCUGGCCUCGGCCCGCCCCCCCUCGCUGCCACUCGCCCGCUUGCCCUCUCGCUCCUCCUCCUCUGCCAAUCGAUCUGCCCGUUCGCUACCGCGGCCCCGCCCACCGCCCGAGGCUCCUCCCGGAUUGGGGACAGCCCCCGCGCGCGCUGGCUGGCUCGCGGCGCGUGACGUCAGCGCGCCGCCGCCGCCGCGGCCGCGGCCGCCAGUUGUGCGGCUCCUGCCCUCCGCGGUGAAACCGCGGCGAAACCCGUUGACCCGGGCCGCACUCGGGAGCGGGGCGUCGUCGCUGCAGCCGCCGCCUCGGGAGCCGGCCCUGGAAGGCAGAACAGCUGCAAAACUGAUGGGUGGGAAGAGCAGACUGGAGUCCUCAAAACGUGGGCCAGGUCCUGGUUGUGCCGUUUGUCCCGUGUGAUGUCAGCAAAGUCCUGUAACCUCUACUCUUCCUUCCCUCGGCCAUGAAACAAGCCCAGUACUGCCAGUCUUCAUGGGCUAUAGGAGUCGGUAGUAAUGACCAGGACGCCGUGGUUGAUCGCAGCAUCCACAGCUUCCCGUACUGCUUACGUCUGAUGCAGCUUCACCCGUGGAACCCCCUUCACUUCUGUCUACUUCUGAAAUCCUGGGAUCUGCUGGAGGGAACACCACUCAUGUGCAUCAAGUUACAGGUCAGCAGCAAUGGACCAGUUCACCUGAAAAUGAUCCCCCCUCCUCCAUAAACACUGCUGCACCUUGAGGCUAUGCCUUGUGCUGACCUUGACUUGCCCUUCUCCCUGCAGAAAUCUCACCGAUUCCUUCCCAACCUCCCAGAGGUUGGACCAUCGAGCACCCUACGGGGCCACUGCCCCUGACCUCCCCAGCUAGUCUCUCUGAAGCUCCACUUUGUUCCUAGUUCUCCCCUGCUCCAGGGAGCCCCUCGCCCCCAGAUGAAAUCCAGACCUACAGUAAGACGCUCAAUUGGCUGGCCCACCUGUUCACCCUUCCCUUCUGCUGUGCCCUGCUCACCUGUGGCACACCUGGGCUUCUGGUGUCAGAGCUUCUGACAUGCAGAGCGCUACAAGUCUGUCCCAGUCUGACGUCUCGGCCACUAAUGCCACCUCUAACAAGAAACCUGCCCCUCCCCUUUAGCUACCAGUCAUUUCCCUCCUAUAGCUUUCUAUUUCUGCAUAUGAUCAAAAUUGCUUUUGCUUUGGUGAAUAACUGGUGU